CAGUUCUGACCAUCCCUGGACAACUCCAGAGAUGAAGCGUUCCCUUCGGAGACAAGGUGACAGGUGGUGCAUGGUUGUCGUCAGCUCGUGUCGUGAGAUGUUGGGUUAAGUCCCGCAACGAGCGCAACCCUUAUUAUUAGUUGCCAGCAUUCAGUUGGGCACUCUAGUGAGACUGCCGGUGACAAACCGGAGGAAGGUGGGGAGGACGUCAAAUCAUCAUGCCCCUUAUGACCUGGGCUACACACGUGCUACAAUGGCGUAUACAACGAGUUGGCCAACCCGCGAGGGUGAGCUAAUCUCUUAAAGUACGUCUCAGUUCGGAUUGUAGUCUGCAACUCGCCUAGCAUGAAGUCGGAAUCGCUAGUAAUCGCGAUC
rnacentral:rRNA from 1 species